GGAAGGGUCGCAUAGUGGUUUAUUGCACCGGUCUUGAAAACCGGCGCCUCACGGCAUCGUGGGUUCGAAUCCCACCC
rnacentral:tRNA from 1 species